rnacentral:rRNA from 1 species
GGGCGCAGCCUGAUCAGCCAUGCCGCGUGUGUGAAGAAGGUCUUCGGAUUGUAAAGCACUUUAAGUUGGGAGGAAGGGCAUUAACCUAAUACGUUAGUGUUUUGACGUUACCGACAGAAUAAGCACCGGCUAACUCUGUGCCAGCAGCCGCGGUAAUAA